UCUCAGUGUGGUUUUCCCUGACGUUCUCGUGAGGAUUAGAGCUUUGGAGAAGCUUUCGUUUACCUGACAGUAAAUCCCUACAUGUCUCCUCUGGACACCACAGGUCAAACCUUCCAAGAGACAACAAUCGUCAAAACCUCCUCACCAUGACAGCAAGCGAGGAGGAAGGACCCUGAAGACCCUCAGUGCCUCUUUUCAUAAUGAAGUAGCGACAGAGAAUGACCUCUGCCCCAUCUCCCAAAAGAUGUCUGGGUCCCAACUCCUUGAGGGAGAAAUGUAAGAAUAGACAGUCAGAUAUGAGCAGGCAUGAGGGAGAGGUAUUCAUGUUGGAAAGAACCCCACAGAACACCUCUUAGGAUGCCCAGUACUCACUCCAUGGUUGAACUGUCAGAAUGCUGUUAACUAGAUCCUGAUAAGGAAAAAGGCAAAAGGGGAAUUCCUGAGAGCUGAGCAGGCACAAUGAGUACAAAAUUGACUGCUCUACCUUCCCCGGGUGGUGGUAAGAAGCAGUGCCACCAUUAGAUAGGAUUCGUAUUGAUCACUGGUUCCCAUGCGUGUGCAUUAAGCACAGUAACAGAGGAUCCCCCAAAGCUUGGUGAGAACUGGGUAAAGAAAGAACUGAGGCAAUAGAAGAUCAUAAUGCACAAUGUCUUCGAUGUGUUUCCAGCAGGGUCAGCCCACUUCUCUCUCUUAGAAUGUACUUGUACUUCCCCAAUAAAACUUUUGCUUGCUUUACAAA